UGUUCACUCGUGGUUCUUGUGUUGCCUACCCGUUUAGCGGUAUUCAUGUGCCUCUUAAGACCCGUUCAAUCCAGACCCCUUGUAGGGAGUGCUGGUGAGUUCGAAAGUGAUGCAUGUUUUGCGUUAGCUGUGCAUUGUAACGGCUGGCGUGCUAACAUGUGUCUACUGUUCCCUCGGAUGCGGUGCAUGCGGUGAACGUGGGCUGAUGAUUGUGCCCCGUUGAGUCCCUUUUAAUUAUCGGUUGCCUUGAAUGACACUUUGUCGUAGUGCCAGUGUUGCUUUACCAUUCGUGGUGUCAGCACUAGUACGUCGAGCAGAGUCGUUGACGGAUGCUACCUGGUUGAUCCUGCCAGUAGUCAUAUGCU
rnacentral:misc_RNA from 1 species